CUGCUUGUUUGGGUAAGGGCUUUUAGGUGCAAAGCUGCUUUGCAUGAUAAUGGCAGUUUAUCUGAAUUCCAUUCUCCUGAAGGAAACUCUUUUACACUUAAUUACUGUGACCAGUAAACCUGUUUUAUCCUUAACGCCCUCUCCCCAGGGGUGGGGGUUUGGGGGCGGUUUUCCUCUCAGCUUCAANNNNNNNNNNNNNNNNNNAGGACAGACCCUCUAGUCAUCUGUUGCAAUCCAAGGAGGCCUGUCCACGUGGCAGGCAAAACCGAGGUGGGUGGAGGGCCCUUAAGGUGACUCAGUGAGGUCAGGUCUGGUUCAGGGUAACCUCUGAAAGUCCCUGGAGGGCUCCACAGCCAGCCGGGGCUGCCGAGAAUGGGGCUGGGGUUAGGCUGCUGGCACUGAGCCUGAGGUCUCUGCUCCCAGAACCCGUGAAUGCUAACCACUGAUAUUCACCUCAUAGUCUCCUGCUUCUGAACUGACUGGCGGGGUGUGGUGGCUAACAGUGCUGGGUGGCGGUGGUUUGGUGGCAGGGGUGGGUGUGUGGGUAGUCAGGAGUAGAGGGGGAGUCCCUGGCUGACUUAUCAGGGUGGUCCGGAGGUGGAGGGGCUCUAUCUUGGCAUUCGGUGGUGGUAGUAAUUGUUUUCCAGGUAGGUUGGCAGCAUUUAUUUACCUGCCAGGCAAAGGGAGAGGAAGAUGGAAAGGUUGGUGGGGAGAGUCAAAGAGCCCUGGUACAGAGAGGGAGCCCCAGGGAGAUGCGCCUCAGCAUUCAGAGGCUCCAGACAGGCAGGCAGGCUAGGGAAGGGUUAAAGAGUUUGGAAACUCCUGUUUCCUAUCACUUGUCAGCCAGCCUCGCUCUCAUCCUUAUCAGCAGGGAUAGGGCCAUGCAGGGAGAGGCUCAGAGAGCUUUGGUUUCCAAGCUCUUCCCAGACUCCAAGCUCUCAGCGUUUCUCUUUACCUUCUAAGGGCUCGUGGCUCCGGCUGGGGGCAGGGCGGCGGGUAGGGUCUGGGAACCCAAACACGUUUAAUGGAAUAGAGUAGGAGUUACUAAAUGCAGCCCUGGGGUAGUAGGGGGCUGAAGAAUCUCAGGAGUAAACC
rnacentral:lncRNA from 1 species